rnacentral:misc_RNA from 1 species
AGUACCCACUCUUCAUCCACUCUCUUUCUUUUGUCUUUUUUUCACUAGAUUAUUUUCAUAAGGAAAAGGAUGAAAAUACCAUGCUACAAAGCAUGCAACGAACAUUUAAUUUUUACACUUGGAAAACAAGAAUAAGAGAACUGAAAUUACACUUGCAUUCAAAUGCAGAUUAAAUUAGAUAGUACCUAAGAACAGGAUGUGUUAACUGUCGAUUGAGAACCAGCCUCUUUAUUACUUUCCUUUUCUUUCUGUAAUUCUGUUUUUCUUAAAAAUUGGUUUAGAAUAAGUCGAUUCUAAUGUUCUUGUACCCUCAAUAUGGGU